CAGCAGCCGCGGUAAAACGAAGGGUGCAAGCGUUAAUCGGAAUUACUGGGCGUAAAGCGUGCGUAGGCGGUGAGUUAAGUCUGCUGUGAAAUCCCCGGGCUCAACCUGGGAAUGGCAGUGGAUACUGGCUCGCUAGAGUGUGUCAGAGGAUGGUGGAAUUCCCGGUGUAGCGGUGAAAUGCGUAGAGAUCGGGAGGAACAUCAGUGGCGAAGGCGGCCAUCUGGGACAACACUGACGCUGAGGCACGAAAGCGUGGGGAGCAAACAGGAUUAGAGACCCCCGUAGUCCCUGUCUCUUAUAC
rnacentral:rRNA from 1 species